AUGAACGCUGGCGGCGUGCCUAAUCCCUGCAAGUCGAGCGCACAGACGAGGAGCUUGCUCCUUUGAUGUUAGCGGCGGACGGGUGAGUAACACGUGGGUAACCUACCUAUAAGACUGGGAUAACUUCGGGAAACCGGAGCUAAUACCGGAUAAUAUUUCGAACCGCAUGGUUCGAUAGUGAAAGAUGGCUUUGCUAUCACUUAUAGAUGGACCUGCGCCGUAUUAGCUAGUUGGUAAGGUAACGGCUUACCAAGGCAACGAUACGUAGCCGACCUGAGAGGGUGAUCGGCCACACUGGAACUGAGACACGGUCCAGACUCCUACGGGAGGCAGCAGUAGGGAAUCUUCCGCAAUGGGCGAAAGCCUGACGGAGCAACGCCGCGUGAGUGAUGAAGGUCUUCGGAUCGUAAAACUCUGUUAUUAGGGAAGAACAAACGUGUAAGUAACUGUGCACGUCUUGACGGUACCUAAUCAGAAAGCCACGGCUAACUACGUG
rnacentral:rRNA from 1 species